rnacentral:rRNA from 1 species
GAUGAACGCUAGCGGCAGGCUUAACACAUGCAAGUCGAGGGGUAUAGUUCUUCGGAGCUAGAGACCGGCGCACGGGUGCGUAACGCGUAUGCAAUCUACCUUUUGCAGAGGGAUAGCCCAGAGAAAUUUGGAUUAAUACCUCAUGGUAUGUGAGAAUGGCAUCAUUUUCACAUUAAAGUCACAACGGCAAAAGAUGAGCAUGCGUCCCAUUAGCUAGUUGGUAAGGUAACGGCUUACCAAGGCAACGAUGGGUAGGGGUCCUGAGAGGGAGAUCCCCCACACUGGUACUGAGACACUGAACAGACUCCUACGGGAGGCAGCAGUGAGGAAUACUGGACAAUGGGCGAAAGCCUGAUCCAGCCAUGCCGCGUGCAGGAUGACGGUCCUAUGGAUUGUAAACUGCUUUUAUACAGGAAGAAACACUGGUUCGUGAACCAGCUUGACGGUACUGUAAGAAUAAGGAUCGGCUAACUCCGUGCCAGCAGCCGCCGUAACAC